AGGACGAACGCUGGCGGCGUGCUUAACACAUGCAAGUCGAGCGGUAAGGCCUCUUCGGGGUACACGAGCGGCGAACGGGUGAGUAACACGUGGGUGACCUGCCCUCAGCUCUGGGAUAAGCCUGGGAAACUGGGUCUAAUACUGGAUAUUCACUUCUCAUCGCAUGGUGGGUGGUGGAAAGUUUUUUCGGCUGGGGAUGGGCCCGCGGCCUAUCGAGCUUGUUGGUGGGUGAUGGCCUACCAAGGCGACGACGGGUA
rnacentral:rRNA from 1 species